GAGAGCCGGAUGCGGGAAAUCUGCACGUCCGGUUCGAUGAGGGGGAUGUGGAAACGGAGUUAUGGCAAGGUUAUUUAGGCACCGCCAGACGAAAGGGGCAGUCAACAGACAAGCCGAACCUACAGCCACCGCGCCACAUCUCUACUCUAC
rnacentral:ncRNA from 4 species